UGGUGGAGUGAUUUGUCUGGUCAAUUCCGAUAACGAACGAGACCUCAGCUUACUAAAUAGCUGUGUAAAUCGUCUACUUGGGUGAAGCUACCGCGUCAUUGCCAGCCUAGCUGGUGGUGCGCACGUAGUGGAUCUCUGAUGCAUUUGUAGAAGCUUCUUAGAAGGACUAGUCGCAUCUAGUGAUUGGAAGUUUGAGGCAAUAACA
rnacentral:rRNA from 1 species